CGCGGUAAUACAGAGGGUGCGAGCGUUGUUCGGAAUUACUGGGCGUAAAGCGCGCGCAGGCGGUCCUUUAAGUCUACCCGUGAAAUGCCGGAGCUCAACUCCGUGCACGCCGGGGGAUACUGGAGGACUGGAGACGAGUAGAGGCAAGCGGAAUUCCGGGUGUAGCGGUGGAAUGCGUAGAGAUCCGGAAGAACACCGGAGGCGAAGGCGGGUCGCUGGGCUUGGUCUGACGCUGAGGCGCGAAAGCGUGGGGAGCGAACAUGAUUAGAUACCCUGGUAGUCCACGCCGUAAACGAUGGGCACUAGACGCGGGUGGGAUCGACCCCUUCCGUGUCGCAGCUAACGCGCUAAGUGC
rnacentral:rRNA from 1 species